rnacentral:rRNA from 1 species
CUACGGGAGGCAGCAGUGAGGAAUAUUGGGCAAUGGAGGAAACUCUGACCCAGCCAUGCCGCGUGCAGGAAGACGGCCCUAUGGGUUGUAAACUGCUUUUGUACGAGAAUAAACCCUUCCACGUGUGGAAGGCUGAAGGUACCGUACGAAUAAGGAUCGGCUAACUCCGUGCCAGCAGCCGCGGUAAUACGGAGGAUCCAAGCGUUAUCCGGAUUUAUUGGGUUUAAAGGGUCCGUAGGCGGGUUUUUAAGUCAGUGGUGAAAGCCUGUAGCUUAACUAUAGAAUUGCCAUUGAAACUGUUAAUCUUGAGUCUGGUCGAGGUGGAUGGAAUAUAUCAUGUAGCGGUGAAAUGCUUAGAUAUGAUAUAGAACACCGAUUGCGAAGGCAGUUCACUAGGCCAGAACUGACGCUGAGGCACGAAAGCAUGGGUAUCGAACAGAAUUAGAUACCCUGGUAGUCCAUGCUGUAAACGAUGAAUACUCGAUGUUGGCGAUACACUGUCAGCGUUCAAGCGAAAGCAUUAAGUAUUCCACCUGGGGAGUACGAUCGCAAGGUUGAAACUCAAAG